AACGAACGCUGGCGGCAUGCCUAACACAUGCAAGUCGAACGAGAUCUUCGGAUCUAGUGGCGCACGGGUGCGUAACGCGUGGGAAUCUGCCCUUGGGUUCGGGAUAACAGUUGGAAACGACUGCUAAUACCGGAUGACGACUUCGGCCCAAAGGUUUAUCGCCCAAGGAUGAGCCCGCGUAAGAUUAGCUUGUUGGUGAGGUAAAGGCUCACCAAGGCGACGAUCUUUAGCUGGUCUGAGAGGAUGAUCAGCCACACUGGGACUGAGACACGGCCCAGACUCCUACGGGAGGCAGCAGUGGGGAAUAUUGGACAAUGGGCGCAAGCCUGAUCCAGCCAUGCCGCGUGAGUGACGAAGGCCUUAGGGUUGUAAAGCUCUUUUGGCGGGGAAGAUAAUGACGGUACCCGCAGAAUAAGCUCCGGCUAACUUCGUGCCAGCCGCCGCAGUAAUAC
rnacentral:rRNA from 1 species